rnacentral:rRNA from 1 species
UACGUAGGGUGCGAGCGUUGUCCGGAAUUAUUGGGCGUAAAGGGCUCGUAGGCGGUUUGUCGCGUCGGGAGUGAAAACCCAGGGCUUAACUCUGGGCUUGCUUUCGAUACGGGCAGACUAGAGGCAUGCAGGGGAGAACGGAAUUCCUGGUGUAGCGGUGAAAUGCGCAGAUAUCAGGAGGAACACCAGUGGCGAAGGCGGUGCUCUGGGCCGGAACUGACGCUGAGGAGCGAAAGCGUGGGGAGCAAACAGG